GUAAGAUGGCCGAAUUAAGCGGUGGGUUGUAGCCCCAUGAAUAGAGGUUCAAGUCCUCUUCUUAUCAA
rnacentral:tRNA from 1 species